rnacentral:rRNA from 1 species
CGAACCGAGCGAACGUUGUUCGGAAUCACUGGGCUUAAACGGGUGCGUAGGCGGGCUGCCAAGUUUGGGGUGAAAUCCUCCGGCUCAACCGGGGAAGUGCCUUGAAUACUGGCGGUCUCGAGGGAGGUAGGGGGCGUGCGGAACUAACGGUGGAGCGGUGAAAUGCGUUGAUAUCGUUAGGAACUCCGGUGGCGAAGGCGGCACGCUAGACCUCUUCUGACGCUGAGGCACGAAAGCCAGGGGAGCGAACGGGAUUAGAUACCCCGGUAGUCCUGGCCCUAAACGUUGAGAACUAGGUAGCAGGCCGGACAUGGGCUUGCUGCCGGAGCAAAAGUGCUAAGUUCUCUGCCUGGGGAGUAUGGUCGCAAGGCUG